CGGGAUGGGCCCAGCGGGGCUGGCGGCUGUGAGGGGGUGCGGGGGCUGCGAGCGCUGUGGGUUUCCCUGCCCACCUUGGCUCCUGAACUGCCGCACUCCUGUGCUUGUUCUUCCCCGGAGCUCUCGAGGUGUUGCUCACACGCCGCCUCUGCAGGGUAGGAAGUGCCUUUGCUCCUGAGGCCAGGGAAGGAGAAACAGCAGUCUGAGGGCUUAACCAUGACCAGCAAGAUGUAGGUAGCAGUCACAAGAGAUUAAAUGCUGCUAUGUGUAACGAAGCAUGAAGAUGACAAGAUAUAUGAACCAGAGGCUUUUCAGCUUGAUCACAUCAUCCAGCACAUAAUUAUACAGAUUUUGUAUUUCAGACACCAAUGUCACCUUGGGGUUGAAAUCAUUCUAGAUGAAUUGGUGUAAGUAUAAAUAAGAUAGUUCCCCACACCCCAGUUACUUUCUUACUUUAAAAAUAGAAAGGAAAAUGAGUCGUCCUGAGUUUAGGGAUGAGUUAUUUGUGUGUGGUAUUUGUGAUGGAAAAUUCUUUCUAAAAUAAACACAGUAAUAAAUGGUCUUCUUUUUUCCUCUCAUAUUUUAAGGUGACAGCCCGCUUCUAGUGUCAGAGUACUAGACUAAAUUUAUCCUGGUCUGUUUUAGUACUUGACUAAUACAUACAGCACUAUCUAUUAGAGUCAUUAAUUGUAUCAAGCAAAAUAUUUUGCUGUAGUUUUUCUAUUAAAUUUCUUUAAAGCCACAUGCAGAAUGAUACCUCCCAUGUUAUACUUUAGUUCCAGCGACUUUAAUAUGGAUGAUACCUUGAUGGGCUUUUGAAAUCCUGAAAAACAUAAAUGUGACAGGGAGCCUAGAUGGGACUUUAAAAAAUACUACAAAUAAUUUAGCUAUUAUUACAAAAUUUUUAUAAAUGCUGAAUAAAGGUGUAAAUUAAUAAAUAUAUCAGCGUCUAUUAAUUUAUUUCCUUCUCCUCAUUACAGAAAGAUACUAUUGAUCCAAAAUUUAUUAGCAGUGUUCUGCUAGAGCCAGCAGAGGGCAGACUUGAAUUGGAAACUCUUUUUGCUACUGCAGUUACUUGAAGUUAAAAUACCAGAUAUAUCAUGUCUUGAGCUCAAAGUCUCAUCACUUCUCUACUAUUCUAAUUACACCUGUGCUGGAUAAAAGCCUCUUUGCAGUUCCUGUUUGACAAAAUGAAUGUUUUGUGAAUGUUUAAAUAAAGAUGCUAAUAUGAAAGUGAAUAAAUCAGUGUGUUAGCAGCUGUGUGUUACUCAUCAGGGAUUAUCCACACUGCUUAAUCCUUAACCAUGUAUAUCUUGAAAUGUUUGUUAAAAGCUAGUGAAUAUAAUUAUCCCCAUUUUACAGGUGAAGAAACUGAAGAAUAGAGUGGUAACCUUACAGAUUACCCAUCUGGGUGACCUACAGAAACAAGAAUAAAGUCCAGUUUUUGAGAUCUAAUCCAGUGCUUUGCAACAUAAAGUAUUUUAACUCUUGAAAACAUUAUGGAAAUUAUUGCUAGAAGCCCAAAUUGUGGAGACUGAGGAGCUUAAACUGUUGAAAUAGCAGGCAGCCUGACAGCCAGGUUGUAGAUCUUAAGAAGAAUAUUCUUCUCAAGAAGAUGGGUGGCAGUCAGAUCAAAGUCCUAAAGAUCCACUUUAAAGUAGUAUUUUGUUUUUAAAACAAGUACUUUGCAUUUUAAGGCAUAUUUGUUAUUCAUUAGGUUAGGUUGUAGUCUUUCCAAAAACCUUUAUGAUAGCCUGUGUCUGGCUCUUGUUAUGUAUAAUGUGUUGUGGCUUCAAACAUUUUUAAGUGCUGUGUGAAGGUCUGUAAGAAUAUAUUAUAAAAGAGGCCACUUGGAGCUUCUUGGUCAUUUCUCCUUGUACCUUGUGCAAUUGUACCUCACAAAGAGUUGUCACCUCCAAAUUGUCAUCACUUUCCAUAACUCACAGAGGCCUGAAAAUGCAAUUAUCUCAAAAGGGAAAAGAUUCAUUUACUCUUCUGCAGAACAUAAACUCUCCUUGAAAUAACCACUCAUUGAAUGCAUUUGUACACAGGCUCAUUUUAUAGUAAACCACUGGAUGCCUCAGCUCAAGAAGCAGCAAGAAAGAUAACAAUUCAAUUAAUGAAAACUGCUGCUUUGAGAAAUGUAGUUUCCAGUCUCAAAGUUAUUUUAUUUAUCCCUAAUUAUACAUUGCUGAAAACUGUUAACCAUUAUUAGGGGCAGAUAAGUCUGAGGUUUGGGGAUAUGGCUGGUUUUGCCUGUUGUAAGCUUCACAGGUUUACACAUCCACCUCCAUAACAAUCUUUUCUUUCACUAA